GGAGAUGUGGCUCAGGGUUACAGUAUUUGCCUAGCAUGCAAAAGGCCAUAUGUUCAAUAUCAAUUCCA
rnacentral:tRNA from 1 species